rnacentral:rRNA from 1 species
GGAUUCCCCUAGUAACUGCGAGUGAAGCGGGAAAAGCUCAAAUUUAAAAUCUGAAGGUCAUUGUGGCUUUCCGAGUUGUAAUCUAGAGAAGUGUUAUCCGCGCUGGACCGUGUACAAGUCUCCUGGAACGGAGCAUCAUAGAGGGUGAGAAUCCUGUCUUUGACACGGACUACCAGGGCUUAUGUGAUGUGCUCUCAAAGAGUCGAGUUGUUUGGGAAUGCAGCUCUAAAUGGGUGGUAAAUUCCAUCUAAAGCUAAAUAUUGGCGAGAGACCGAUAGCGAACAAGUACCGUGAGGGAAAGAUGAAAAGAACUUUGGAAAGAGAGUUAAACAGUACGUGAAAUUGUUGAAAGGGAAACGCUUGAAGUCAGUCUCAUUGGCCAGAGAUCAACCAUGCUUUUUUGCUUGGCGUACUUUCUGGUUUAAUGGGUCAGCAUCAAUUUUGACUGGUGGAUAAAGAUUAGGGGAAUGUGGUAUCUUCGGAUGUGUUAUAGCUCCUGGUCACAUACAUCGGUCGGGAUUGAGGAACUCAGCAUGCCGCAAGGCCGGGUUUUUAAACCACGUACAUGCUUAGGAUGCUGGCAAAAUGGCUUUAAUCGACCCGUCUUGAAACACGGACCAAGGAGUCUAACAUGCACGCGAGUGUUUGGGUGGAAAACCCGAGCGCGUAAUGAAAGUGAAAAUUGAGAUCCCUGUCGUGGGGAGCAUCAAUGCCCGGACUAGACCUUUUGUGACGGUUCCGCGGUUGAGCGUGUAUGCUGGGACCCGAAAGAUGGUGAACUAUGCCUGAAUAGGGUGAAGCCAGAGGAAACUCUGGUGGAGGCUCGUAGCGAUUCUGACGUGCAAAUCGAUCGUCAAAUUUGGGUAUAGGGGCGAAAGACUAAUCGAACCAUCUAGUAGCUGGUUCCUGCCGA